rnacentral:lncRNA from 1 species
CAACCUCGUCAAAGAAAGAGAAAUCCCACAAGUCAGUUCAGCAAUCAACGAAGAAAAACUCAAGGGAGCCGACCAGGUUAUCUAUCAAAUUAGUUGCCUUGCAGAUGGGUUUCGAUUAAUCCCAGAUGAUCGGGAAAAUUUUAGAAUCAAAAAUUGAGAUCAAUAAAUAGCAGGGAUUGAGGAUACGCAAUUCAGCAACAUAAACCUUGAAAUGCAGUAAGCGCAUCUAUGAU